ACUAAACGGCCAGCGGCGCACAGAACAUUUCACGCGUUUUCAGACGGAUUUCCUACGCUGCGCCUCGACAAUCUCUCCGCGUGUCGCAUUCACACACCACAAUAUUAUUAUUUUACACACUAUUACGCCCUACACCACCGACGAAGUCCCUUGGUCGCUGUUUUUCCAUCAUUGUUAUAAUAUUGAACACCGCGUACGCAGCACUCUUCGGUUCAUACCUGUUGCUCGUCAUUGUUGCUGUCUAAAGCGCCUCAGCUCAAACGAUUAGAAUGACUGUGUGGGGAGCGAAUCCAGUGGCAUCUCAACGUAUCAGUAGGCAGGAUUAUGAAAAUCAAGUAAUGCGGCAAAUUCAAUACCAGCGGUACUUUGAGCGGCAACGUCUGCUUAGGUAUCCGACUUCAGUGAUUUCCGCGGUGAGUCCACAAACUCCGGGAACCCAGAGAAUCCGGCAUGCCGUGAUACCUAACCGAUGGUACCCAUCUGACCCAGUUGGAGCUCAAAUUCCUGAACGACAAUAGGUGGUCGAAAACUGUUUCGGUCCCACUCAUCGCAUUAUGCCGUCGUCGGACCGUGUCGCGUGUUAAAUCCAUAAUUAAAUCUCAUAAACUUCACAGAUAUAUACAUGUAUGUGAUUAAGUCCGAGUUUUUAUUAAAUGUGUAAACUGAUUAUAAUAAAUUAUGUUUGUUCACAUAAUAUUGCUAAAUAAAUCAUGUGGGUACAAUUAUGAAAAUUCAAUUACUAAUCUCAAAUAGUAAAUGACCAUCGUCCCCCUGUCAAUUUUCGGUGUAACAGGACAUCCUCCCAUAUUUUUAAUUUAUUCUGUCUGAAGACAAAAUUAUACAUUACACAAAAAAAAAUGUUAUAUUCAUAUAAAUGUUUAAAAAAUAUGGGGAAGAAAUGGCCGAGUUAUAAAAUAUAUCCAUGGAAAAUGUCCUACUACACCGAAAAUAAUUAGGGGGAAAUCUCUAAGGGGAAAUUGUCCACGAUUCAUAUAAUUUACCUACAUUUUACACAGUUUAUCGUAAUACUGUAUAUUUGUAAGUAUUUAAAAAAAAAGCCCAAUCUAAUCUACCCAUGCAUUUGUUGUCUCCGUCUUACACACGUAUGAUAUAGCAAAUAAUUUUUGUUCACUAGUUGCAAUAGUGUGCUGUUAGUUAUGUCGUACGUUUGUGACGCAUGGGUAGCAUUCUCUUAAUAUUUCAAGAUUAUGAUUUAUUAAAAUAAUAUUAUUCACGAUAAGUUAUUGAUUUGAUCACAGAUUUUAAUUGUUAUAAAUACUUUUUAAACUUAGAUAUAUUUGUGUGUUUGUUUCUUUACAUUAUUUACAAAAUAUUAUUAUUUAUACAUACUUAUACAACAUUUUUAUAAUGUCCAUAUUUAUAAGCCAAUUGUGUGUUCAAAUGUGGCUCAAAAAAACUUUGGGUUUAUAGUUUUAAAAUAAAGUUAUUAAUUUUAAUCUAGAACAAUAUAUAAUCUGAAUGCUAUUGCUGGUUGACUUCUCUCAUCACGUCUCCACAUCUUGUAUGUAUAUUUAUUUUUCUCACACAUAUGCUUA